GAAUAUGAACACUGAAGUGAUAGGUAAGUGUGAAUAGUGAGUGGAAUGAAGUGAACUCUACCGAAGAACCAAGGAGACCCCCAUAGGGACACUAGUGAGAUGUGAACUCACUCAGGCCAAAAGACAAACACAAAGGCUCUAAUCCUAAAAGAGAAAGAUGGGUGUCUCAAAAUGCCUCUGAAGCCACACUAAGGAUCCAAGCUCCCUCUAAAACGUCUCCAAAAGUGACCCGAAGAUCGAUGUCAAAGGUGAGUAACGGUCGAACCACC
rnacentral:lncRNA from 1 species